rnacentral:sRNA from 1 species
ACAAGAAACGGAAAAAGAAGCAGACAGAGAC